rnacentral:rRNA from 1 species
ACAUGCCUAUAGCAUAGCGUUAAUGCAUUGGAUCCCAAUAGAGCCUCGCAGUUAAGCGUGCUAAAGAUAGAGUAGUACUGGGAUGGGUGACCGCCUAGGAAGUCCUAGUGUUUUACAUGCC